CCCUUAGAUGUUCUGGGCCGCACGCGCACUACACUGUUUGAUUCAGCGAGUCUUAACCUUGACCGAAAGGUUUGGGUAAUCUUCUAAAGUCAAACGUGAUGGGGAUCGAUCAUUGCAAUUAUUGAUCGUGAACGAGGAAUUCCUAGUAAAUGCAAGUCAUCAGCUUGCGUUGAUUACGUCCCUGCCCUUUGUACACACCGCCCGUCGCUACUACCGAUUGAAUGGUUUAGUGAGAUCUCCGGAUUGGCUCUGUAGGUCCCGCAAGGGAUUUAUUAGUAGCCAAGAAGCUGCUCAAACUUGAUCAUUUAGAGGAAGUAAAAGUCGUAACA
rnacentral:rRNA from 1 species